rnacentral:rRNA from 1 species
GACGAACGCUGGCGGCGUGCUUAACACAUGCAAGUCGAACGGUAAGGCCCUUCGGGGUACACGAGUGGCGAACGGGUGAGUAACACGUGGGUGAUCUGCCCUGCACUUCGGGAUAAGCCUGGGAAACUGGGUCUAAUACCGGAUAGGACUCCGGACUGCAUGGUCUGGGGUGGAAAGCUUUUGCGGUGUGGGAUGGGCCCGCGGCCUAUCAGAUUGUUGGUGGGGUGAUGGCCUACCAAGGCGACGACGGGUAGCCGGCCUGAGCGGGUGACCGGCCACACUGGGACUGGGAUACGGCCCAGACUCCUACGGGAGGCAGCAGAGGGGAAUAUUGCACAAUGGGCGCAAGCCUGAUGCAGCGACGCCGCGUGAGGGAUGACGGCCUUCGGGUUGUAAACCUCUUUCAGCAUCGACGAAGCGAAAGUGACGGUAGGUGCAGAAGAAGGACCGGCCAACUACGUGCCAGCCGCCGCAGUAA